GCAUAUCAAUAAGCGGAGGAAAAGAAACCAACAGGGAUUGCCUCAGUAACGGCGAGUGAAGCGGCAAAAGCUCAAAUUUGAAAUCUGGCCCUCUCRGGGUCCGAGUUGUAAUUUGCAGAGGAUGYUUCGGGAGCGGCGGCGGUUUAAGUCCCCUGGAACGGGGCGUCGCAGAGGGUGAGAAUCCCGUCUUGGACCGCCAGCCCGUGACCGUGUGAAGCUCCUUCGACGAGUCGAGUUGUUUGGGAAUGCAGCUCAAAAUGGGUGGUAAAUUUCAUCUAAAGCUAAAUACUGGCUGGAGACCGAUAGCGCACAAGUAGAGUGAUCGAAAGGUUAAAAGCACCUUGAAAAGGGAGUUAAAUAGCACGUGAAAUUGUUGAAAGGGAAGCGCUUGCAACCAGACUCGGCCGCAGAGGCUCAGUGGGCACGUGUGCCCAUGCACUCCUCUGCGGGCGGGCCAGCAUCAGUUCUGACGGCCGGUCAAAGGCCCCUGGAAUGUAUCCUCCUCCGGGAGGCCUUAUAGCCAGGGGUGCAAUGCGGCCAGUCGGGACUGAGGAACGCGCUUCGGCACGGAUGCUGGCGUAAUGGUUGUAAGCGACCCGUCUUGAAACACGGACCAAGGAGUCUAACAUCCACGCGAGUGUUAGGGUGUCAAACCCUUGCGCGCAGUGAAAGCGAACGGAGGUGAGAUCCCCGCAAGGGGCGCAUCAUCGACCGAUCCAGAAGUCUUCGGAUGGAUUUGAGUAAGAGCGUGGCUGUUAGGACCCGAAAGAUGGUGAACUAUGCCUGAAUAGGGUGAAGCCAGAGGAAACUCUGGUGGAGGCUCGCAGCGGUUCUGACGUGCAAAUCGAUCGUCAAAUUUGGGCAUAGCGGCGAAAGACUAAUCGAACCAUCUAGUAGCUGUUUCCUGCCGA
rnacentral:rRNA from 1 species